GUAUUUGAAUUUGUGGCGCUUGGUGUCCGCGAGUUGCCGAAUGAAGCUGAGCGUCUCAGUGGAACCAGGGAUCUCAGGGAGACAGGGUCUGGCUUUGUUGCCCUGGUCUUGAACUCCUGGCUUCAAGUGAUUUUCCUGCCUCAGCCUCCUGAAGUGCUGGAAUUACAGGCAUGAGCUGCCACACCUGCGCCUGCCCCUGGCUCAGCGCCCGGUGCCAACAGAACACCUUUCAGGAUCCACAGCAACGCAGACAACGUAAGUACCAGCCGUUCCCUGAAACCCUUUUGCAGAUUUUUUAAAAACAACCACCUAAAACAUAGAGAGAGAGAGACAAGCCUCUUUCCCCUUCUUCUCCCCUGCGUUAUGCCACCAGUGUUUCCUCAGUAGCCCCUUCCAAAUCGCUCUGCCUUCAAGUUUGUGCAUGUCUGUGUGGCAUCCCUCCUCCUCCUUCACUCCCAUAGUGGAUCUUGUAAAAGGGCUUCAGAUCGGCCCCAUUCAUCUCCCUGGUGAUAGCAGUGAAUGUAGAUAAAUCUCUGGCUGCCUGCUUGCUGCUGGAGUAUGAUUUUUAUUUUGUCUUCUGUGUAUACCUGGGUCAAAAAGUGGGAUGUAUGCAUACACAUACAUGCACAUACACAUAUUUCCUUCUCUCUCCUCUCUCUCCCUCCUUUUUCUCACACAUGCAUACAUCCUACAUAUGUGUGUAUAUGCAUAAACAUAUACACCUAUAUACAUACCCAUACCUGUAGCACAAAAUAUAUACAUAUCUAAACGUUUGUCUGAAAAUAUGCAUAUUUAUAUACACAUACAACCUUACACAUGUGUUUAUACGCAAUCGAUAGGUGCCUAUCUUUUAAUUUAUACCCAUCUAUAUCUCCAUUUAAAUAUUCCCUCUCUUCUCCCAGCAGAGGCUGUGUGCAAUUGCAAUCCAGGAUUAUACAAGCAGUAUUCUUUCCUUAUGAUUUCUAGUUGUAGACCUUUAUCCUCCUUUCUCUGCCUUCUUCGCAGCUGUAGAAUUGGCAUCUUUCCCUGAGGUUUUCCGAGUGGCAAGUGGCACCGGCUGUGGCAUGUAUUCAUGCCGCUUCCUAUGGCAUUUCUCUUCCGAUGUCUGCUUUUUCUUUGUUUGUUGUUGACUAGGCUGAAUGGUGGGGUUUUUUUUAAGUUAAUUAUAAACGAAGUUGAAAUAGCAAACAAGCCAACAGCUUGUCCCCCCCACCAAAAGAAAAAUUAGCCCCACACAAGCGCCUUCUGCUGCAACAGAUGCCCAGAUCACCCCUGGCACGGGCAAACGGGCAAACGAUUUUGGUGGUUUUCAGUUUUUUCUGUUUGUUGCUGUAUUUGUUGUUUGUUUUCCUUGUUUCUUUUUGAUUUUUCGAGGAGUCCAGAAUCCCGGCCUCUGCUUGGAACGGAACAGUGUCAUGGCGGAGACGACGGCCUUUGUCUUGCUGGGUGUGAAAACAUCCGCUGUGCUGGCUCCACUGCGGCAGAAUCAAGUUUAAAGGAAAAAAAGUGAUUAAAGUCAGCUUUGUGCCUCUGUGGUGUGGAAGACCCCCAAACCCCAAGUAGCCGAGUCCCAGGGUCCGAGGAAGGGCUCAUAGUUGGAGCAGCCUAGGCUGUAAUCCUGGCACUUGCGCCUUCGGUUGCUGCUUGCUGUUCGCUCCUGGGGGUCUGGAUAAUCUCCCUUGGCUUUACCGCACUGUCUGGCCCGCAUACAGGGCCCCGUAUCAUAUACCCGCUGCUGCUAUCACACGAAACUGUGGCGUUGCCCCUGAAUGGAUGGCACGGUGCCAACUCUUCUGCCAUCCGCCCUUGCAGCUUUUUUCUUUUCUCCCUCCCUCCCCUUCUUCUUCUCCUCCUCCCGUCGACUUGACGUUAAUUAACACUCGGGUUAAUUGAUUUUAAAAGCCGAAGAAUUACAGUUAACUUUUCCCACAGGGUACAGACGCCAGCCGCUUGGCACACUCUGCUUUUCGCACUGGUGCAGGGGAACAGGGAAAGCCCGCAGCAAAGCUAGCAACUGCUGAGGGAGCGUUGCCUGCUUAUUGGAGUAGAGCCGAUAGAAGUCGACGUGGCAUUGCCUCAUCCUUUACAAUAUAUGUAUCCAUUAUAUAUUUUGUUAAAUAAUCAAAACACCACCCUGUUUUUCUUCUUCUCCGUUCCUCUUUCAAAACAGGAAGACCAUUCAGAAGUUCACCUAGAAAGGGAUAAAAUCUUUCCACCAAACCUCUCUUUCAUCCAUGAUAUGCUUUUUUUUCCCAAUGAUAAAUAGCUGGUACCUUAAAUUUUUUUUUUUUUUUUUUUUUUUUUUUUUUUUAGGUACAAAAAGAAAGGCUUACCCCUUCCCUAAAAAUUACAGACAUAGAAGUUUGGUGGUUUUUUUUUUUAAGAAAAAGUUCCGUAAAGUUUUUCUGUUUCAGUGUUUUGUUUUGUUUUGAUGUCUCUUGGCUCAAAAGGGUUAUUUAUGGUGAAGGAUUUCAAUGAGAAAGUGGGUACAUUGUAAUUAACAACAAAAUUCGUAUGAAAGCUCUUUGUUUAUAUGUCUGUAUAUCUUGGCUUUUUGUCCCUUUCCCCCCAAUCCUCUAGAAAAUGAAAGCGACUGAUACUGUAGUUGGGAAGAAGACAGGCAAGGCUGGGGACUUGAUGCUUUCACCUUUUCAUGCUUUCAUUUUAUUUCAUUUUGUUUUUUAAAAGCACGCAGCAAGUGAAGCGACAAGAGGAAUCCAUUAUGCAAAUCAUGUCACUUUGCAUAACGUCUCAUGACUAGAAUAUGCAAAUGAACUGUAUAAUUUAUGAGUGCCAGUGUCUGUCUAAGAGUGUUUCACAUAAUUUACAAAGUGAGCCUGAGAGGCAUGAGGAAGGCAGCUCUUCCGAUUCCAUUGCCAGGAAAGCGCUAUAUAUUUUUCUGUAAGUGAUCCCUCAUAAUAUCAUCAAGUGCUAUUUAAAAGAAAUGAAGAUUUCAAAUGUACAUGAAAGGCAAAGAUUUUCCUCUCACUUCCUUCACCCAUUGAUUUUUUUUCCUAAAAUUUGCAAGAAACUUGGACUCUAAAGCCUUAAAUUUUGGAUUUAAUUUGGAAAAGAAAAGUUAUUUGAGCCAAACUUGCUCUUUGUAUGAGGGUUUUCUUUUUUUAAGCAAGGAAUGUCUUAGAGAAGCAGACACCUUAUCUAUUAAUAUUUGCCUGGACCUAUAGAAGGCAGAAGAAUGGGAUUUCUCAUUUUGGUUGGUUUUAUGUUUGCCCUGUAACAUUUUAUAAAUAAUAGUCUCAUGGAUGUAUUAAAUAUUGAUAUGGAAUA
rnacentral:lncRNA from 1 species